GAGGGUGACAGGUGGUGCAUGGUUGUCGUCAGCUCGUGUCGUGAGAUGUUGGUUAAGUCCCGCAACGAGCGCAACCCUCGACCUUAGUUGCCAGCAUUCAGUUGGGCACUCUAAGGUGACUGCCGGCUAAAAGUCGGAGGAAGGUGGGGAUGACGUCAAAUCAUCAUGCCCCUUAUGACCUGGGCUACACACGUGCUACAAUGGGCGGUACAAAGGGUCGCGAGCCCGCGAGGGGGAGCCAAUCCCAAAAAGCCGCUCUCAGUUCGGAUUGCAGGCUGCAACUCGCCUGCAUGAAGCCGGAAUCGCUAGUAAUCGCGGAUCAGCAUGCCGCGGUGAAUACGUUCCCGGGCCUU
rnacentral:rRNA from 1 species